ACGUGGCGAGGAUAAAAGGUGAGGCAGAUGGGACUGGCUGAAUAAUUCUAGUCAAUGAAAAAGGUGCCGCCGAACGAGCAAGUCAAGCUUAAUUCCGUGUCGUCCCCACUUGUUCUUCUACUCCUCUUCUUUGCAAUACAAAAAUGCAUACGUAGCAUUUUGAAAUGCACGGAGCGUUUUAAUCUGCUUGACACUUUUGGCGCGUUUGUGUCCUUUUGACCUCAACCCAUGUGCUGCAUUCUGAUUCCAUGUCGUGGCACCUCAAUUGGAUCAAGUGAGAACAGAAGAGAAGAGAAGAAAUCGUACGUACUCCCUCGUUACAUAUAAUUUCUUGUCUCAAAGUUGUCCAAAAAUGAACGUAUCUAUUCCUCAAAAGCGUUUAGAUACAUGUAAUAUUUCGACAAGAAUUAUGAAACGGAGGAAUUACGUGUUACGGAGGGUUCUGUUUAAUUUGUUGCCUUGCGCGCCUUUGCUGGGUGGCCCUUGCCCGUGGGCACAGAUUCAUCAUAUGCAAGGAAGGCAAAGGCAGAGCAUGCUUUAUAGCACCAAACAGGUAGGAGCACCAGACAAAGCAAUUAAGCAAGCACAGAAGAAACUAGAAAAGGAUGUUAGAUCUUUGGGAGUGAACAAAAGGUAACCGAGAGAAUAUAGAUGGUAUGGUCAGUUGGUCACAAGGGAAUUAAGGGGAGUAACUUAACCUUGCUGACUUGCUGUGGCCCGGCUGCCAUGAUAUGUGGCUAGCUUCUACUGGAAAGAUAGGAAGAGAAAAAGAUAGAAGCCGAUGCGCUUUGCGCUCGGCGAAGCAUCGGGACGGCGACCGAAUCAACGAAGCAUCUUGUUAAAUCUGUGGGCACGUCCAAAUUAAAAGGAAGAAUGAAUUGGCAUGAUCAGAUGGCCCAGCGACCAACAUCCCUUCCUUGCUCAUUUCUUCGUGUGGGUGGGGGCCCAAAGCUUGCUUGAUUUCUUGAGCACGCAGCUACAGCCUGCAAUCCAUCUACAAGUACUCUGUCGAUGAGAAGUUUUUAGUUUUCUCGAGUAUCUCUGUUAUCUGUGUUACUCCGUGUAUCGAUUUUUUGUACUUUGUCUCUUGAAUCAAUAAAGUCAGAUCGUUGCUCUAAAAAAAA